UACGGGGGGAGCAAGCGUUGUUCGGAUUUACUGGGCGUAAAGGGCGCGUAGGCGGCCACCGCAAGUCAAUUGUGAAAUCUCCGGGCUUAACUCGGAAAGGUCAAUUGAUACUGCGGGGCUAGAGUGCGGAAGGGGCAACUGGAAUUCUCGGUGUAGCGGUGAAAUGCGUAGAUAUCAGGAAGAACACCGAUGGCGAAAGCAGUCUGCUGGGCUUAUUCUGACGCUGAGGUGCGAAAGCGUGGGGAGCAAACAGG
rnacentral:rRNA from 1 species